rnacentral:rRNA from 1 species
ACGGGUGAGUAAUGCGUAGGAAUCUACCUAGUUGAGUGGGAUAGCCUAGGGAAACUUAGGGUAAUACCACGUAAGCCCGAGAGGGGAAAGCAGGGGACCGAAAGGCCUUGCGCGAUUAGAUGAGCCUACGUCGGAUUAGCUUGUUGGUGGGGUAAAGGCCUACCAAGGCGAUGAUCCGUAGCUGGUCUGAGAGGACGACCAGCCACACUGGGACUGAGACACGGCCCAGACUCCUACGGGAGGCAGCAGUGGGGAAUAUUGGACAAUGGGCGCAAGCCUGAUCCAGCAAUGCCGCGUGUGUGAAGAAGGCCUGCGGGUUGUAAAGCACUUUCAGUGGGGAGAAAGAUCCUUGUACUAAUAAUAUGAGGGAAUGAUGUUACCCACAGAAGAAGCACCGGCUAACUCUGUGCCAGCAGCCGCGGUAAUACAGAGGGUGCGAGCGUUAAUCGGAAUUACUGGGCGUAAAGGGUGCGUAGGUGGUUAUAUAAGUUAGGUGUGAAAUUCCCGGGCUUAACCUGGGGACUGCGCCUGAUACUGUAUGGCUAGAGUACUGUAGAGGAAAGUGGAAUUUCCGGUGUAG